AUGGGAUGGACGCCGAGACGGACAGACAGACCUGCUCGAUGCCUGAGCCCCGCAGCCCCCCAAGGAGAAGGGGAGAACGUCCGGGCAGGGAGUUCCGCCGCAGUCUCCCUCCCAGGAGUCCUGCGCAAGAGUUCAAUAAAGUUCGCUUUUGGGCUUGUGCUGCCCUCUGUGUUGGUGGCCGCUGUAAGUGGCUGUGUCACUGGGUGCAGGUUCCUGGGUGCGCAGGGGGCAGGGGCUGGGGGGAGCCGAUGGAUACAGACAAGCGAUUUGGGUGUGGGGGCCACGCUGCUGGGGAGGCUGCAGGCUGGGGGGGGAAUGGCAGCAGUGGUGGGGGGAGGCCAGCGCUGCCUGUGCUCCCUGGGCCAGGUGUGCCGGGGCUGCCCUGCGUGGAGCGAGCGAUGGGCGAGCGAGACCCGGGCUGCGGCUGCUGCGGAGGAGCAGGUGAAGGAGGGCCUGCGGGUCCCUGACGGGGGGCAGGGAAGGGCGCUGGGGAGGCUGGGUCCUGCGGGACCGGGGCCGGGGGCAGGGAGAGCCGCGGGGGGCAGGCGCCGGGUGAGGAAGCACGGGUUUGGCCCUGGAGCGGCGGCCGGGAGCACCUCGCCCCGCAGCAAGCCGGGAGUUGUGGUCUUCGGGCUCCGGGCUUCCCGUCGGCCACGCCGGUUACCGGAGCAUGCCGGGGGCUGCAGUUUCACGUUGCCGCUGGGCACGGGCCCGUUUAGGACGGGCAGUUCCUUCCUCCGCGCCACGGAGCGGGGUGCCUGCUCUUGCCGUUUCCGUGUGGUGUUCCUCGCGGCUCCCGCCGCUCCCCUUAACGCGCAGCCGGCCCCCGGAGCCGUCCCGGCCGUUCCGCUGCCGCCCACGCACGGAGCAGGCAGGCGGCGGCGCCCGGUGCCCGGCGGCCGGGCCGCGAGCGGCGCUGCGGGACGCGUGGCGCUCUGCUCCCGCCUGCUGGCCACAGCCGGGUACUGCAGGCGGAGGAGACGCGCAUGCGCUGUAGCAGUCGCCAGGCUUCGUGCCCCGCAGCAUGCCGGGAGUUGUGGUCUUUGGGUUUUGAGCUUCCUGUCGGCCGCGUCGGUUUCCGUGGCAUGCCGGGAAAUGUAG
rnacentral:lncRNA from 1 species